rnacentral:rRNA from 1 species
GACGAACGCUGGCGGCGUGCUUAACACAUGCAAGUCGAACGGAAAGGCCCUGCUUUUGUGGGGUGCUCGAGUGGCGAACGGGUGAGUAACACGUGAGUAACCUGCCCUUGACUUGGGAUAACUUCAGGAAACUGGGGCUAAUACCGGAUAGGAGCUCCUGCUGCAUGGUGGGGGUUGGAAAGUUUCGGCGGUUGGGGAUGGACUCGCGGCUUAUCAGCUUGUUGGUGGGGUAGUGGCUUACCAAGGCUUUGACGGGUAGCCGGCCUGAGAGGGUGACCGGCCACAUUGGGACUGAGAUACGGCCCAGACUCCUACGGGAGGCAGCAGUGGGGAAUAUUGCACAAUGGGCGGAAGCCUGAUGCAGCAACGCCGCGUGCGGGAUGACGGCCUUCGGGUUGUAAACCGCUUUCGCCUGUGACGAAGCGUGAGUGACGGUAAUGGGUAAAGAAGCACCGGCUAACUACGUG